UAGAGUGGCGCACGGGUGAGUAACGCGUGGGAAACUGCCCUUCUGAGUGGGAUAACGUUUGGAAACGAACGCUAAUACCACAUACGCCCUACGGGGGAAAGGUCCGCCGCAGAAGGAGGUGCCCGCGUCCGAUUAGCUUGUUGGUGAGGUAAUGGCUCACCAAGGCGACGAUCGGUAGCUGGUCUGAGAGGAUGAUCAGCCACACUGGGACUGAGACACGGCCCAGACUCCUACGGGAGGCAGCAGUGGGGAAUAUUGGACAAUGGGGGCAACCCUGAUCCAGCAAUGCCGCGUGUGUGAUGAAGGCCCUAGGGUUGUAAAGCACUUUCACUGGUGAAGAUGAUGACGGUAGCCAGAGAAGAAGCCCCGGCUAACUUCGUGCCAGCAGCCGCGGUAAUACGAAGGGGGCGAGCGUUAUUCGGAAUUACUGGGCGUAAAGGGAGCGCAGGCGGUUCAUUUAGUCAGACGUGAAAGCCCCGGGCUCAACCCGGGAGGUGCGUUUGAUACUGGUGAGCUAGAAAUCAGAAGAGGAUAGUGGAAUUCCCAGUGUAGAGGUGAAAUUCGUAGAUAUUGGGAAGAACACCAGUGGCGAAAGCGGCUAUCUGGUCUGUAUUUGACGCUGAGGCUCGAAAGCGUGGGGAGCAAACAG
rnacentral:rRNA from 1 species